rnacentral:rRNA from 1 species
CUCAGUAGCGGCGAGUGAGCGGCAAGAGCUCAGAUUUGAAAUCGUGCUUUGCGGCACGAGUUGUAGAUUGCAGGUUGGAGUCUGUGUGGAAGGCGGUGUCCAAGUCCCUUGGAACAGGGCGCCCAGGAGGGUGAGAGCCCCGUGGGAUGCCGGCGGAAGCAGUGAGGCCCUUCUGACGAGUCGAGUUGUUUGGGAAUGCAGCUCCAAGCGGGUGGUAAAUUCCAUCUAAGGCUAAAUACUGGCGAGAGACCGAUAGCGAACAAGUACUGUGAAGGAAAGAUGAAAAGCACUUUGAAAAGAGAGUGAAACAGCACGUGAAAUUGUUGAAAGGGAAGGGUAUUGCGCCCGACAUGGGGAUUGCGCACCGCUGCCUCUCGUG